GACGAACGCUGGCGGCGUGCCUAACACAUGCAAGUCGAACGGGGUAGCAAUACCCAGUGGCGGACGGGUGCGUAACACGUGAGGAACAUGUCUUUCGGCGGGGAAUAGCCGGCCUAACGGCCGGGCAAUACCGCGUACGACGAUCGAGGCGCAUGUCUUGAUCGUGAAAGCAGCAAUGCACCGAUAGAGUGCCUCGCGGCCUAUCAGCUAGUUGGUGGGGUAACGGCUCACCAAGGCGACGACGGGUAGCUGGUCUGAGAGGAUGAUCAGCCACAUUGGGACUGAGACACGGCCCAGACUCCUACGGGAGGCAGCAGUGGGGAAUAUUGCGCAAUGGGCGAAAGCCUGACGCAGCGACGCCGCGUGUGGGAUGAAGGUCUUCGGAUUGUAAACCACUGUCGGGAGGGACGAAUGCGCCGCAAGGCGAGUGACGGUACCUCCAAAGGAAGCACCGGCUAACUCUGUGCCAGCAGCCGCGGUAAUAC
rnacentral:rRNA from 1 species